rnacentral:misc_RNA from 1 species
AGUAAAAGAUAUGAUGCUAGCCAUUCUCAAGCUCUCUAAUACCACCCUAUGAGUAAAGGGCAUGUCUUUAAUUUGAGCCCAAGACAGAGGCAUCUUCCCCUCUCCAUUUUUUCUAUAAAUUUCCAUCUGCUCUGCCUUGACGGCUUCAAAGAGCUUCAAGUUGUCAUGAAGAUAUUUAAGAAUCCAAGUGAGGACAGUGGCGG